GGUGUUACAUCCUAUAUUUUCAUACAUUGGGACGUUUUAAACUAAAAGUGACAAGUUAAAGACAAGACUAUCUUAAGAUACGAAGUAGAAAUUUUAACUUCCGGUUUCGUUUCGAAUCACAAUUUGUCUACAAUUUUCGUUUGGCAUGGAAGUGUUAAUGGAAAAUUGGGAUUAAACUAAUCACACUUGGAUUAAUAAGUGGGAUUGGGAAGACAAAACAAAAAAAGAAAAAAAAAAAAGCCCACUUUUAGGCCAUGCUUGGCCGUGCAUUUCAAUGCCUUGGUCAAGGAAUCUUGACCCAAAAUUAGUGUGAUCCACAUGUCCAAGGCAUGGAGGGGACAAAGAGACAAAAAAAAAUCUGUCCACUCCACACUUUCACAACUCAUUACAACAUUCCAAAGUGUAGAACACUUAGAGAGAGAAAGAGAGACUCACGGCUAGAGCUAGCCGAAAAUGGUGAAGAAAAAUUGAUCCAAAAAUUUCAGUUUCUCAAGCAAUUUAACUCCAUUGAAGGUAUAUUAACGUGUAGCAUCCAUUGAUAUAGCAAGAACAAGUGUUAAAAAAAAAAUCCAAGAAGUGAAAGUGAAGGCUAGCCGAUUGAAGUGUAGUUACAAGGAUAAGUGUUUUUGGGCAGCAAGUACAAGUUAGAAUACAACUAAACGCAAAAGGUACAGACGCUCGUUUCGGAGAUCCGCCAGCUUAGGACACUAUUUCAGCUAUUUUGGACUGCUCCUUUGUUCCGGAGCUAGCUUGUGGUAUAACUCCCUUAUGUUGUAUUCGUAGGUGUUUAUUUGGGUAUGGCGGGGCCCUGUCCCGCCACAUAAUACGAUCAUUACUCUUAGAGGUCUGUGGACAUCGGUGUGGGUCUGUUUGUAGUUGUUGAUGCGUUUUAUGUCUAUGACUUAUGUUUGGGGCGUACCCAUUCGUAAUGGCAGCCUUGUCGGCUCGCACAUGUAUAUGUUGUUCUGUUGGCCCUGUGUGGCCUUUGUUGGAAUUUGCUGUGUACAGGGUUAUUUUGGAUAGU